AUGGGUAACAGCUUGUCUGUUGUCCCAAAAUUUGGUGGGGGCGGUCAGCAGCCCAAAGAACCACCUAGAAAUACGGCCGCAAGUUACAUGGUUUCGAAGUAUGGACCUGAUGCAAGCAAGUACUUAGAGAAAUGGCAAGCAAUGACAAAGGCCAAUCCGAAGGUAAGCUGGCCAAGGUGGGGUUCACUUAAUGAGGAAAGGAUGUUGUUUCUGCAGUCUGUUUUAAGUGAAGCAGGUCGAGAAAUUGAAGGAGACGAAAGAGAAGUCUUCAACCUAUGGCUCGAGGAGUACACCCAGAGAAAACACAGGUCAGAACGAUCCGUAGAACAAGAGAUGGGUAAGAACAAGAGAAAGGUAAGGGAGGAGGAGAAUCAAGGUGAACAAGGCAGGGAAGCCACUAAAAAGCAAAUAGCUGAUUUACAGAAGGAGGUAGAAAGCCUUAAAGAACUCCUGAAAGGCUCUAGCAACCCAGCAACCUCUUUAGACAGCAUACCUGAGCCCCUAGAAUCACCUGAGGCACCCAUCCCUCAAUUCCCUUUUAAAAUUAAGGGAAGGGAAGGAACCAAAACAAUGCAGGUAUCUUUUACUCCUUGGACAAAAACAGAGCUCAAAGCCAUGGCCAAGGAAUUCCCAAAGGUUAGAGAAAACCCCAUAGCAUUUGCCAAGGAAUUUGAAUUAACUCUCUCUACAUACCAGCCUGGCCUAUCAGACCUUUACCAGCUAGCUCACAUACUAGUAGGUUCAGGAGAUGCUACUCACUGGUUUAAAACUGCUAGUUGGGAGAACCCUUUAGAAUAUAUUAAUCAGUUAAUGGCCAGAAAGGAAGGACCUGAAGUCCAUCUUCAGGAGGCAAAGAAGAUGGGAGAGGCUUUGUUAGAAGCAAUCCCCAAGGCCUUUCCAAAAUCUGUAAAUUGGGGAAAAAUCCAAAUUUGCACUCAGAAAGAAGGAGAAUCUGUAUUUGAUUUUUAUAAUAGAUUUUUAUAUACCUUCAGGGCAAAUUCUGGACUUUCCCCAGAUAGCCCAGAUACCUUAAUUACCUUUAACACCCUCUAUGUGGAAGGGUUAAAUAAGGCCCUUGCAAAUCUCCUCAAGAGAGGGAAAGUAGACUGGAAUUUAACUCCCACCCCUGACCUAGUCUAUCUAGCAAGUAAAUUCCAACAAACACUGACAGAAGAAAAGGAGAAGGCAGCAGAGGAAAUGACAAAAAAAACUAACCAGAUCAUGAAUUUGCAGUUAAAACACUGGGAGCAGAAGGAGAGAAGACCGACUGAACCCUAUUCUGCCGAAAAAGCAGGCGGGAGGCAAAGAGCCUGGAGAUGUCACUUUUGCCACCAGACCAGGCACUUAAAAAAGGACUGCCAUCGGCUCCUGGGUAAGAGGGGGAGACGCCAAGGUAAGUUUCAAUACCACUCAGGAAAGUUCCCCCGAAAGGAACAUCAUGAGGAAGCCUCACAAUGA
rnacentral:lncRNA from 1 species